rnacentral:rRNA from 1 species
CUGCGGAAGGAUCAUUAUUGAAAUGAACCCGAUGAGUUGCUGCUGGCUCUCCAGGGAGCAUGUGCACACUUGUCGUCUUUAUGUCUCCACCUGUGCAUCUUUUGUAGAUCUGGACAAUCUCUCUGAGUGCUAGCACUUAGGUUUGAGGAUUGAUUCCUUGUGUUUUCAGAUCUAUGUUUUCUUCAAAUAUCCCCAAUGCAUGUUAUAGAAUGUCGUAAAUAGGCCUUUGUGCCUAUGAACCUUAUACAACUUUCAGCAACGGAUCUYUUGGCUCUCGCAUCGAUGAAGAACGCAGCGAAAUGCGUUAAGUAAUGUGAAUUGCAGAAUUCAGUGAAUCAUCGAAUCUUUGAACGCACCUUGCGCUCCUUGGUAUUCCGAGGAGCAUGCCUGUUUGAGUGUCAUUAAUAUAUAUAUCAACCUCCUUUUGUUUGUGGAGUGUUGGAUGUGGGGGUUUUUUUUUUUGCUGGUCUUUCUGAGGUCAGCUCCCCUGAAAUACAUUAGCGGGAACCAUUUUGUAGAUCGUUCAUUGGUGUGAUAACUAUCUACGCUAUUGACGUGAAGCAGGGUUCAGCUUCUAAUAGUCCAUUGACUUGGACAAAUUUUCAUUAAUGUGACCUCAAAUCAGGUAGGACUACCCGCUGAACUUAA